ensembl:lncRNA
AUGUGGCCCUGGUCCUCCUGCCACCGUGGUGGAGCUGAGCAUAGCCAGGGAGCGUUGGAAACUUCCCAGCAGCAGGUGAAGGGCAACGGGUUUUUAAGAAGCCUCUUAAAAUGCACCUCUUCCCUGGGCUGUGUGUCUGCGGCCCUCGGGUUGAUGGUUUUUUGGGCAUCUCUGUCUCCCCUCCAGCUGCCGCACAUCCUGGGUGGCUUGUCCCUGACUUGCCCCUUCAUGCCUUCCUUAUAUGAGUCUCUGUUCCUCCUCCACCUGCCAACCUCUGCUCACCCUUCAAGACCCCUCUGGAAGAUCCCUGCCUCUGCGAGGUUGCCUUCAGCCUCCCUGUCACCACCUCCCUGGCCCCCAGGCUCCCUGGGUUCCUCUUCUAUCCCAGGAGGACCUGACCACAGCUGGGCCCUCCCAGUGUGCCCUGUGCAGCUCAGCGGCCUGCCCGAAAGGCCCUCCAGCAGCUUAUCUUGCUGUGGAAAGGUAGCUAGGGUCCCCACCUCGGUCCUCACUCCUCCCAGUGUAGCUCUGAGCCCAGGCCUGGCGCCACCUGCUGAGAAGUGGGGAUGGGGCUGGGGAGGGGCGCCAGUGCAAGGGAGGCCUUCAGCCUGGGCUGGGAACUCGGCACAGGCAGGAUGGACGCUCACAUGUGCAGGGCCUGUGGCUACUUAGCACCUUCGCAGCAGAGUGGCAGAGGCUCCCAGAUCCUCCUGCCUCAGGCUCCCAAGUCACUGAGUUCUCCAGGGUCAUUUUCAAACUGACCCUCCUGGGGGAGGCGCAGUGUGGCUUCAAUCUCAAUGAUAAUCCCCCUCCACCCUACCCCGCUUCCAAGAAGUGUUGAGAGGCCCAAGAAAGGACAAUGUGAGGGACACGCUGUCUUCCUGGACAGCCACCCGUGCCUCUUCUGCAGCCUGUCCCGCUUGCCAUCAAGGUAGGAGUCUAUUCCCCCACCCCCAUGGUGGUCCACCUUAGCUACUGGCCAGAGGAGGCCCAGAGGACUGUGCUGUGUGGUUCUGGGCUCUCAGAGAAGCCGGCUGUUCUCUCAGCCUCCUGGGCAYUGCUCCCUCUGGGCACCAGCUGCUAUGCUGGGAAGUCUCAUGGGGAGGCCAUGAGAGGGGUGCCAGUGGGUGACCAGCCGGCCAUCUGAACUGUAAGUGCAGGAGUAAGGCACUGUGGGUUCAACCCCAGUACCAAAGAAAAGUGUGGUGGAUGGGGUGUGGUGACUUCUGAGCUGGGCCACAGAAUACCUGGGUUUCCACCUCCCUCUCGGGGAUCUCGGAAGACAGGCAGUCUCCCUCAGCUGCCAUGCUGGGUGGGUGUUCUAGCAGUCCUGCUCCCUGCCUGCUCAGGAGGAGCUGAGGCCUCCACAGCAGCCAGCCAUCUGGGAACAGACCCUGAGCCCCUGCGAGGCUGCAUAGGGCUAGCCCUCGGGCAUCCUCUCUGGAGCUUCCCGAGAGACCUGAGCCUGACCCACCUCGGCAUGGGUCAGUCUGACGACAGAACUGGAGACAUUCGAGGUGCUGCUAUGGAGUGAGUUGUGUCCCUCGUUCAUGUGCUACAGCGUGACCCUCAACACGUGCAGAGCUCCCUAGGAUGGGCCCUGCUAUGGCUGAUCUGUGAUGUCCCCCAGAAGCUCAUGAGAGACAGAGCCAGGACGCUGCAAGGUCAGAUGAUAGCCUGUGAGAGCCGUGGCUGCCUCAGUGGGUCAUCCCCUGGACUAGACUAGCUGGUAUGUAGGGUGUGGCUGGAGAGGCUGGGUCCCGGGAUGUGCCUUUGGGGUUAUAUUGUGUCCCUGGCCUGUAGCUUGCGCUCUCUCUGCUUCCUGGCCACCAUGAAUGACCAGCUGUCUCUGCCAGGCCCUUCCUCCAUGAUGCUCUGCUUUACCUCAGGCCCAGAACAAUGGAUCCGGCCAGCCAUGGACUGAGCCUCUGAAACCACGAGCAAAAAUGAACUUUUCCUCCUCUAAGUUGUUCUACGACUUUUGGUCUCAACAAUGAAAGCUGACUAAGACCGCGAUCCACUAGUGUGACGAGCGGUUGUUAGUGUCUCAGUCUGAGGCACAGCUGGGUUCCAUCAGGUCUAUUUCAUUGAUGCUCAUCACACUUCAGACACACAUCCUGAUUGUGAGUCCUAACUGAGCUACCCAAGAGUCCCAGAUGCUCCCCUGACAUGGGUCCUAAGUCGGGGUCUCUGGACCUAGAUUCAAGCUGGAGGCGUCUGGUGGGGAGACAGCAGCGACAGAGACCUCCCUCUCUGUCCAGGUCCUGUUGGUCCCAUCGCCCCCCAGAGUCUGGGUUUUAAGUCCUAGUUCAGUUGUGCUUGCAGCAGUGCAGAUGCUGACAUCACUAUCUAGGUCUGCCUGGGCCGCAGUUGGCCUCGGUUCUGCCACUCACAUCACAUCAGGGGCACGUUGCUUAUGGUCUUUCCUCCACACACACUCGAAUUAAUACAACCAACAGUAACCCUGUGUAUCCCUGGCACUCAGGUCAACUAGGACCAGUGGUCAGGCACACCAGAGGGUGACCGCGUGAGGGCAACAAACCUCUCGCUUAGACCCCUCCCCUUCGAGGGGGGCUUCCUCACUGCUCCUGGCUGCCUUGUCCUGGGGCGGGUGGCCUGAGAAGGGAGCACACUGGCUGUGCGUGUACCAGGCACUUGUUGGUCUCUGUGUCACUGAACCCAAGGGCACUGGGUACCACAGCCGAUGGCUGCUCCUGUCCCCUUUUACAGGAGACCAAGGGACUAGUAACUUGCUCAAGGUCACAGGGUCGUGAGGGGCAGGACCUGUGCCAACGCUCUGUGCUUUGCUGGCCACAGCACAGGCCAGAGCUCUGCUCAGAGAGCCCUCUUGGUGACCAGGAGCUACACCCACAACAGCCCCCUGCUUCCUCAGGUGGAGGCCCGAGGCCAUGGGCCCCCUCCUCUGCACCCCACCUUUCCCUCCACGUGAUGGCUUACCUGUGCCCAGUCUUUCCAGUGGCCUGAGCUCCUCCCUGGGACAGAGACCUCCUGCUGCAGAGCAGCCCCACGUGUGCUUGGCUGUUGCUUAGAGUGCGGCCUUGUGCUGGGCAUUCAGAACGGAGGCUCCAGGGCCCUGGGGGGGCGGCAGGCCUGGCCAGAUCACAGACCAGCCCUGGCCCAGGGAACAUCCCUGGGAUCUAACCUAGGGCCACUCCUUCAUCUUCCCUGGGGCUGGGGUAAGGCUGGGGGUCGAGCAUUUGCCCAACAUGAGUGAGGCCCGGGCUCCUCCUCAGCACCAAAAGGGAAAACAGGGAAUCUAUGGCAGGAAGCCCUCUGCCAAGGCCGGGGCCGGGACAGACUCAGUGCUGCCCCUGGGAAGCCGAGAAACAGCAGGCCUCAGUCAGAGGCCCCGGAGGGCAGGGCUGCUCUGUCCCUUGUGGUCCUGGCCUCCCACAGGCAGCAGGACCCCCCUGGGCUGUUAGGUGACCCAGCUGUGAAGGGGUCCCAGGAGCUGGGGCUCCCUCUCCCGGGGCUGCCCGCGUCCCAGACCCAGGCCUGGGCUCUGAUGCCUCUGUGCUAAUUUCACAAAAGACUCGACUUGAACUCCUGACUGAGCAGCUUCACUUUGACAGGACUGAAGAUUUGUGACAAGGCUGAUCAUCACCCCAGAGCGUGGGUGAUGUGCAGCCUCCGGGGAACCGGCUAGCGGGUAUAUUUUAUGGCUUGCUUGGAAGACAAACGCAGGCAUUUAUGUGUCACUUGUUGCAGUAUAAAUGCUAACUUGUACUUCUUUCAAAACUUUUAAUGAAUUGUAUGCAUUCUGGAGGAUUUAUAGGAUGAGUGGGAUGGCCCAAAAUGUUACUUUCAACAUAUUUGUCACUUUGGAAACAGCACCAAAAAAAUCUGGAAGAUAUUGCACUCAGAAAUAAAUCAUAAAUGGAUGCAUCUGAAAAGAGGUUU